rnacentral:rRNA from 1 species
GGGGGGUGCGAGCGUUAUCGGAAUUAUUGGGCGUAAAGGGCGCGUAGGCGGUCUUGUCGGUCAGAUGUGAAAGCCCAGGGCUCAACCCUGGACGUGCAUUUGAAACAGCAAGACUUGAGUACGGUAGAGGAAAGCGGAAUUCCUGGUGUAGAGGUGAAAUUCGUAGAUAUCAGGAGGAACACCGAUGGCGAAGGCAGCUUUCUGGACCGAUACUGACGCUGAGGCGCGAAGGCGUGGGUAGCGAACGGGAUUAGAUACCCCGGUAGUCCACGCAGUAAACGAUGUACACUAGGUGUAGCGGGUAUUAAAAUCUGCUGUGCCGCCASUAACGCAUUAAGUGUACC